rnacentral:rRNA from 1 species
UACGUAGGGUGCAAGCGUUAUCCGGAGUUACUGGGCGUAAAGCGCGGGCAGGCGGCCCGAAACGUCUGAUGUGAAAUCUCCUCGCUCAACGGGGAGGGCCAUUGGAAACGGUCGGGCUGGAGGGCAGUAGAGGCAGGCGGAAUUCCGGGUGGAGUGGUGAAAUGCGCAGAUAUCAGGAGGAACACCGAUUGCGAAGGCAGCUCGCUGGGACGUUACUGACGCUGAGACGCGAAAGCGUGGGGAGCAAACAGG